rnacentral:lncRNA from 1 species
UCAGGCCCAAGACCACAUCGCUGUGCAGGAAGUGGCCGAGCUGGGGGCGUGAAACCAGCUGCUGCACCCUGGGAGUAGCAGUGAGGCAUAAACCUCUGACAGCAGUGCCUCCAGCCUUUGCCCUCACGGCUGACUAGGCAGCAGCUAAUCCAGGCUCUCUCCAGUCCUCACGUCUUCCUCGCCGGCCCCUCAGCACCUGGCCUGGCACAGUAAACAUGGAGACGCUGGAGGACACAGCCUCCCGAGCCCUCCUCUGUGCCCGCCGACCUGCCAUGGCAGGGGGCAGGUGCCUUCGCUGUCUUCUGCUAUCAGGGACAGCAGAGUCAGCUGA